rnacentral:rRNA from 1 species
CAGUAGCCACGGGAAUACGAAGGGUGCAAGCGUUACUCGGAAUUACUGGGCGUAAAGCGUGCGUAGGUGGUGGUUUAAGUCCGUUGUGAAAGCCCUGGGCUCAACCUGGGAAUUGCAGUGGAUACUGGGUCACUAGAGUGUGGUAGAGGAUAGUGGAAUUUCCGGUGUAGCAGUGAAAUGCGUAGAGAUCGGAAGGAACAUCUGUGGCGAAGGCGACUAUCUGGGCCAACACUGACACUGAGGCACGAAAGCGUGGGGAGCAAACAGGAUUAGAUACCCGUGUAGUCCCUGUCUCUUAUAC